UUUUACAUAUUUUUUUUACGUAACCGUAUUUUUACCCUGUUUUAUUUUAGCUUGAAAAAGAACUCAAGGAUUUGAAAGAAAUAAAUAACAAUUUAAAGAAUGAAGUAUUAAAAGACACAAAUAAUAACAACGCUCAAACUAAUCCACAACAGGAGAAAUAUGAAGCACAAAAUGAAAAAAUCAUCAAAUUAGAAGCUGAGCUAUUAAUUGAAAAAAAAAAUAGUACAAUUAUUGAAGAAACGACUAAAAAUAAAUUAACAAAGGAAUUUAAUGCUGCAUUGCAAAUUUUUAAAGAACAAUUACAAAUUAGGGAAAAGGAAACUGAAUAUUACAAAGAAACAAUGAAAACACAGAUAGAUACUUUUAAAGACGAACAAAAAUUAUUAAGCGAUAUUAUUCACAACUUAGGCCUAAAAUAUAAACAAUUACAAACUUAUAAUCUUUGUUUAAAGAAUGAAAUUACAGGAAUUAAAUUAAGGUAUUAUUUCACAUUUUAUUAUUAUAUUUUAUUUUUUUUUACUUGUUAAACACAUAAAAUGCUUCGUACAUAUAAACAUUUUCUCUAUGACAUAUUAUUUUAUUUUGUUUUUUUUUAAUAUAUAUAGAACCAAAGCUUGUACAAAUUCCGACAACAAAUAAAAUCCCAGUUUUAUACA
rnacentral:lncRNA from 1 species